rnacentral:rRNA from 1 species
AUUGAACGCUGGCGGCAUGCUUUACACAUGCAAGUCGAACGGUAACAGGCCUUCGGGUGCUGACGAGUGGCGAACGGGUGAGUAAUGCAUCGGAACGUGCCCAGAGGUGGGGAUUAACGCGGCAAAGCUUUUCUUAAUCCCCCAUGUGAUCUGAGAUGAAAACCGGGGGCCAGGCCACCAUUUUUUGCCUUCGCCCCUUUGAACGGCCCGAUGUCAGAUUAGGUAGUUGGUGGGGUAAAGGCCUACCAAGCCGACGAUCUGUAGCUGGUCUGAGAGGACGACCAGCCACACUGGGACUGAGACACGGCCCAGACUCCUACGGGAGGCAGCAGUGGGGAAUUUUGGACAAUGGGCGCAAGCCUGAUCCAGCAAUGCCGCGUGCGGGAAGAAGGCCUUCGGGUUGUAAACCGCUUUUGUACGGAACGAAAAGGCUCUGGCUAAUACCUGGGGCUGAUGACGGUACCGUAAGAAUAAGCACCGGCUAACUACGUG